AAGACUAAAAUUUCUAUUGAAAUCAAGGCAACAAAAAUUUAAUUCAUUUACAUACCACAAAUAAGUGAAUAUGUAUAAAAGCAGCAAAAAUCACGAUCCGUUUUUACAUUAUAGUUGACUAUUGGCAGCGAACGAAUUAUCCCGGGAAAUGUUAUUAUGAACAAGAAAUCUAUGAGCCUGGAACCUAUUCUCUAGAAAAUCAGUGUAUGGAAAUAUCAUGUAAUAGCACUGGAGACUAUAAAAUUUACACUUGUUCAGCAAUCCUGCCACCUGAGGGAUACCGUAAUGAAGUUGAUAAUUCCAAACCAUACCCGGCUUGCUGUAUAAAUUUAGUAAAAAAUGAAUGAUUUCAUCAAUAUGACCAAUGGUCAAGAUAUAUUCUUCUGAAAUAAAUCGAAAAUUAAUAGAAUUA